rnacentral:rRNA from 1 species
GACGAACGCUGGCGGCGUGCUUAACACAUGCAAGUCGAACGGAAAGGCCCUGCUUUUGUGGGGUGCUCGAGUGGCGAACGGGUGAGUAACACGUGAGUAACCUGCCCUUGACUUUGGGAUAACUUCAGGAAACUGGGGCUAAUACCGGAUAGGAGCUCCUGCUGCAUGGUGGGGGUUGGAAAGUUUCGGCGGUUGGGGAUGGACUCGCGGCUUAUCAGCUUGUUGGGGGGGUCGUGGCUUACCAAGGCUUUGACGGGUAGCCGGCCUGAGCGGGUGACCGGCCACAUUGGGCCUGGGAUACGGCCCAGCCUCCUACGGGAGGCAGCAGUGGGGAAUAUUGCACAAUGGGCGGACGCCUGAUGCAGCAACGCCGCGUGCGGGAUGACGGCCUUCGGGUUGUAAACCGCUUUCGCCUGUGACGAAGCGUGAGUGACGGUAAUGGGUAAAGAAGCACCGGCUAACUACGUG